rnacentral:rRNA from 1 species
GGGUUGUGAGGUUAAGCGACUAAGCGUACACGGUGGAUGCCCUGGCAGUCAGAGGCGAUGAAGGGCGUGCUAAUCUGCGAUAAGCGCCGGUAAGGUGAUAUGAACCGUUAUAACCGGCGAUACCCGAAUGGGGAAACCCAGUGUGACUCGUCACACUAUCAUUAACUGAAUCCAUAGGUUAAUGAGGCGAACCGGGGGAACUGAAACAUCUAAGUACCCCGAGGAAAAGAAAUCAACCGAGAUUCCCCCAGUAGCGGCGAGCGAACGGGGAGGAGCCCAGAGCCUGAAUCAGCAUGUGUGUUAGUGGAAGCGUCUGGAAAGGCGCGCGAUACAGGGUGACAGCCCCGUACACAAAAGCGCACAUGCUGUGAGCUCGAUGAGUAGGGCGGGACACGUGGUAUCCUGUCUGAAUAUGGGGGGACCAUCCUCCAAGGCUAAAUACUCCUGACUGACCGAUAGUGAACCAGUACCGUGAGGGAAAGGCGAAAAGAACCCCGGCGAGGGGAGUGAAAAAGAACCUGAAACCGUGUACGUACAAGCAGUGGGAGCACCCUUUGGGGUGUGACUGCGUACCUUUUGUAUAAUGGGUCAGCGACUUAUAUUCUGUAGCAAGGUUAACCGAAUAGGGGAGCCGGAGGGAAACCGAGUCUUAAUUGGGCGUUAAGUUGCAGGGUAUAGACCCGAAACCCGGUGAUCUAGCCAUGGGCAGGUUGAAGGUUGGGUAACACUAACUGGAGGACCGAACCGACUAAUGUUGAAAAAUUAGCGGAUGACCUGUGGCUGGGGGUGAAAGGCCAAUCAAACCGGGAGAUAGCUGGUUCUCCCCGAAAGCUAUUUAGGUAGCGCCUCGUGAAUUCAUCUCCGGGGGUAGAGCACUGUUUCGGCUAGGGGGCCAUCCCGGCUUACCAACCCGAUGCAAACUGCGAAUACCGGAGAAUGUUAUCACGGGAGACACACGGCGGGUGCUAACGUCCGUCGUGAAGAGGGAAACAACCCAGACCGCCAGCUAAGGUCCCAAAGUCAUGGUUAAGUGGGAAACGAUGUGGGAAGGCCCAGACAGCCAGGAUGUUGGCUUAGAAGCAGCCAUCAUUUAAAGAAAGCGUAAUAGCUCACUGGUCGAGUCGGCCUGCGCGGAAGAUGUAACGGGGCUAAACCAUGCACCGAAGCUGCGGCAGCGACGCUUAUGCGUUGUUGGGUAGGGGAGCGUUCUGUAAGCCUGUGAAGGUGGCCUGUGAGGGUUGCUGGAGGUAUCAGAAGUGCGAAUGCUGACAUAAGUAACGAUAAAGCGGGUGAAAAGCCCGCUCGCCGGAAGACCAAGGGUUCCUGUCCAACGUUAAUCGGGGCAGGGUGAGUCGACCCCUAAGGCGAGGCCGAAAGGCGUAGUCGAUGGGAAACGGGUUAAUAUUCCCGUACUUGGUGUUACUGCGAAGGGGGGACGGAGAAGGCUAUGUUGGCCGGGCGACGGUUGUCCCGGUUUAAGCGUGUAGGUGUGUGUUCCAGGUAAAUCCGGUUCACUUUAACACUGAGGCGUGACGACGAGGCACUACGGUGCUGAAGCAACAAAUGCCCUGCUUCCAGGAAAAGCCUCUAAGCAUCAGGUAACAUCAAAUCGUACCCCAAACCGACACAGGUGGUCAGGUAGAGAAUACCAAGGCGCUUGAGAGAACUCGGGUGAAGGAACUAGGCAAAAUGGUGCCGUAACUUCGGGAGAAGGCACGCUGACACGUAGGUGAAGUGAUUUACUCAUGGAGCUGAAGUCAGUCGAAGAUACCAGCUGGCUGCAACUGUUUAUUAAAAACACAGCACUGUGCAAACACGAAAGUGGACGUAUACGGUGUGACGCCUGCCCGGUGCCGGAAGGUUAAUUGAUGGGGUCAGCGCAAGCGAAGCUCCUGAUCGAAGCCCCGGUAAACGGCGGCCGUAACUAUAACGGUCCUAAGGUAGCGAAAUUCCUUGUCGGGUAAGUUCCGACCUGCACGAAUGGCGUAAUGAUGGCCAGGCUGUCUCCACCCGAGACUCAGUGAAAUUGAACUCGCUGUGAAGAUGCAGUGUACCCGCGGCAAGACGGAAAGACCCCGUGAACCUUUACUAUAGCUUGACACUGAACAUUGAGCCUUGAUGUGUAGGAUAGGUGGGAGGCUUUGAAGUGUGGACGCCAGUCUGCAUGGAGCCGACCUUGAAAUACCACCCUUUAAUGUUUGAUGUUCUAACGUGGACCCGUGAUCCGGGUUGCGGACAGUGUCUGGUGGGUAGUUUGACUGGGGCGGUCUCCUCCUAAAGAGUAACGGAGGAGCACGAAGGUUGGCUAAUCCUGGUCGGACAUCAGGAGGUUAGUGCAAUGGCAUAAGCCAGCUUGACUGCGAGCGUGACGGCGCGAGCAGGUGCGAAAGCAGGUCAUAGUGAUCCGGUGGUUCUGAAUGGAAGGGCCAUCGCUCAACGGAUAAAAGGUACUCCGGGGAUAACAGGCUGAUACCGCCCAAGAGUUCAUAUCGACGGCGGUGUUUGGCACCUCGAUGUCGGCUCAUCACAUCCUGGGGCUGAAGUAGGUCCCAAGGGUAUGGCUGUUCGCCAUUUAAAGUGGUACGCGAGCUGGGUUUAGAACGUCGUGAGACAGUUCGGUCCCUAUCUGCCGUGGGCGCUGGAGAACUGAGGGGGGCUGCUCCUAGUACGAGAGGACCGGAGUGGACGCAUCACUGGUGUUCGGGUUGUCAUGCCAAUGGCACUGCCCGGUAGCUAAAUGCGGAAGAGAUAAGUGCUGAAAGCAUCUAAGCACGAAACUUGCCCCGAGAUGAGUUCUCCCUGAGACUUAGAGUCUCCUGAAGGAACGUUGAAGACGACGACGUUGAUAGGCCGGGUGUGUAAGCGCAGCGAUGCGUUGAGCUAACCGGUACUAAUGAACCGUGAGGCUUAACCUUACAACGCCGAAG